AUUCCUCUUCCUGGUGCUGGAGGAGAGGAGACGCUGGCGAUUUCAACUGAGACGGAUCCUCAGCUGAGACGGAAUGACAACAUUCAACAGGGGACUCCAGACAGGGAACAACAGUCAAAUGGUUCCGUCAGCUGUGCAGCAGAGGAUGAAACAGAGAAGGUAAACGUCUGUAAGGUGUGUGUCUCUGUCCCUCAUUCUACUUUGUGGAGCCUCUAGGAACCACAAACAAGCCUGCUUUCUGGGAGUGCAGUGUUCUGGUGCGGUAAUAGGUACUAUGAGCUUUAAGAUGUGAUGGUUCCUGACCAUUAAGGGCUUUGUAGUUGAGGAGGAAGAUUUUAAAUUCUGUUCUGAAUUUGGCAUGGAGCCAAU